CCCGCUGUCCUUUGGUAAGGCUGUGGAACAGGAAACCCACUGAACUUCCCCAGUGUUUGGUGAAACAGACCCAGAGGAAAGUCAAAUGGGUGCCAUGGAAACAGAAUCCACAUCAGAAUCGGUGACUGAGGCAGAGGACUAAGGGGUAACAAGCAGUAUGUUUUCCCUGGAAAAAACCAGCGCUAUCUAUAUUUUUUGAAUAUUGA